rnacentral:rRNA from 1 species
UACGUAGGGUGCAAGCGUUAUCCGGAAUUACUGGGUGUAAAGGGUGUGUAGGCGGACUUGUGCGUCAGUGGUUAAAUACCCGGGCUUAACUCGGGAGCUGCCUCUGAUACGGCAAGUCUUGAGUAUGAGAGAGGAUGAUGGAAUUCCUGGUGUAGCGGUGAAAUGCGUAGAUAUCAGGAGGAACACCGGUGGCGAAGGCGGUCAUCUGGCUCAUUACUGACGCUGAGGCACGAAAGCGUGGGGAGCGAACAGG